rnacentral:rRNA from 1 species
GAUGAACGCUGGCGGCGUGCCUAAUACAUGCCAGUCGAGCGAACGGACGAGAAGCUUGCUUUUCUGAUGUUAGCGGCGGACGGGUGAGUAACACGUGGAUAACCUACCUAUAAGACUGGGAUAACUUCGGGAAACCGGAGCUAAUACCGGAUAAUAUUUUGAACCGCAUGGUUCAAAAGUGAAAGACGGUCUUGCUGUCACUUAUAGAUGGAUCCGCGCUGCAUUAGCUAGUUGGUAAGGUAACGGCUUACCAAGGCAACGAUGCAUAGCCGACCUGAGAGGGUGAUCGGCCACACUGGAACUGAGACACGGUCCAGACUCCUACGGGAGGCAGCAGUAGGGAAUCUUCCGCAAUGGGCGAAAGCCUGACGGAGCAACGCCGCGUGAGUGAUGAAGGUCUUCGGAUCGUAAAACUCUGUUAUUAGGGAAGAACAUAUGUGUAAGUAACUGUGCACAUUUUGACGGUACCUAAUCAGAAAGCCACGGCUAACUACGUG